UGAAGGCUYUCGGGUCGUAAAACUCUGUUKYUAGGGAAGARCAAGUGCUARUUGAAUAAKCUGGCACCUUGACGGUACCUAACCAGAAARCCACGGSUAAMUWCGUGCCARCARCCGCGGUAAUACGUAGGUGGCAAGCGUUAUCCGGAAUUAUUGGGCGUAAARCGCGCGCAGGUGGUUUCUUAAGUYUGAUGUGAAAGCCCMCGGCUCAACCGUGGAGGGUCAUUGGAAACUGGGAGACUUGAGUGCAGAAGAGGAAAGUGGAAUUCCAUGUGUAGCGGUGAAAUGCGUAGAGAUAUGGAGGAACACCAGUGGSGAAGGSGACUUUCUGGUCUGUAACUGACACUGAGGCGCGAAAGCGUGGGGAGCAAACAGGAUUAGAUACCCUGGUAGUCCACGCCGUAAACGAUGAGUGCUAAGUGUUAGAGG
rnacentral:rRNA from 1 species